rnacentral:rRNA from 1 species
CGGCGGACGGGUGAGUAACGCGUGGGUAACCUGCCUCACACAGGGGGAUAACAGUUGGAAACGACCGCUAAUACCGCAUAAGCCAACAGGGGCGCAUGCUCUGGUUGGAAAAGAUUUAUCGGUGUGAGAUGGACCCGCGUCUGAUUAGCCAGUUGGCAGGGUAACGGCCUACCAAAGCGACGAUCAGUAGCCGGCCUGAGAGGGUGAACGGCCACAUUGGGACUGAGACACGGCCCAAACUCCUACGGAAGGCAGCAG